GCUGGGAUUUAGGGUUCCAGCGCCGGGGGUGGUGAUUAUUCCCCAUCCACGCUUCGCUUCCCACCCUAUAAAGCGCCUCGAUCCAGACCUUUGCUAAAAAUAACAAGGCGCAGAGGCAACCUCGAUUCGAUCCUCGCUCGCGGAGAUGUCUGAUGUUGAGGAGUACCGUUGCUUCAUCGGGAACCUGUCAUGGUCGACAACUGAUGAGAGCCUCAAGGAUGCAUUCGACAAAUUUGGAAACCUCACUGAGGCAAAGGUGGUUCUUGACAAAUUUUCUGGCCGAUCUCGUGGUUUCGGCUUUGUAACAUUUGAUGAGAAGAAAGCUAUGGAGGAUGCUAUUGAAGGGAUGGAUGGCCUGGACUUGGACGGGAGGAACAUCACUGUCGAUAAAGCUCAGCCACAAGGGCCUGGUAGAGAUCGUAAUGGUGAUCGUGACUAUGAUCGUGACCGUGGAUCUCGUUAUGACCGUGGCCGUGACUAUGGUGGUGGUGGUGGACGUGCACCACGUGGCGGCGGCGGCGGCGGUGGGGACUGCUUCAAGUGCGGAAAACCUGGUCAUUUUGCUAGGGAGUGCCCAUCUGGGGAUGGUGGGAGAGGGGAUAGAUAUGGUGGCAGAGAUGACAGGUAUGGUGGCGGUGGUGGUGGUCGUUAUGGAUCUGACCAUGGUGGUGACCGAUACUCUGGCCGUAGCCGAGAUGGUGGCAGCUACGGGGGCGACCGCUACAACCGUGACCGAUCUGGUCCCUACUGAUGGCCUAGAUCUUGAGCAGUAUGUGCCAUCCAGGCAUAUGACUUGGUCAUAGUGCUUGGCGCUUGGAUCCUGCGUGUUUGCUUGAUAUGCUAUUUGGCUGGAUUUUGUCGCUGUGUGUUGAUGAUCCUGAUCCUAGUUAUGCUUAUGGGGAUGCCGGGGAAAUGGGGGUUUGGAUGAGUUACUGUUCACGUUAUGUUCUGUUCGGGGAAUCAAGGGAUCAGCUGUAUUCUGCUUGAAUACACGGACAAGAAAAAUCAUCUCUUCUGAAAAGCAAGCUAUGAAUCAUCAAUAAGGAAAAAAUUAAAUGGAUUCUUUUUGGUUAGUUGUUAUCUUGUUCUGGAUUGGUUGCUACUGUCAUUCUGGAUUGGUUACUAGUGUCCUAAAAUCAUUUCAGUUGUCCCAUUUAGUCUGGCGAGUGGUUCCACGAAUGCAAAGUGUUCUUUGGUUCCAUUCUAUGUGCCAUUAGCAUCGGAGGACCACUGCAAAGAGAUUCCUCUUUGGCUCCUUGGAGGACCUGCAUGUUUCUGCCUGUCCCUCGGGGGUGGCUUGACUACCUGGUUGUGGUUCCUGUGACUUGCUCGUGCGGCUGCCUCUUGGUGUUCAUUUAGAUGCCCCGUUUCUUGUGGCUUGUGAGAUCAGGGAUUAUGCUUAUGCAGCCUGAGUGAAUGAGAUGCUAAAUAGUUGCUGUUCUUUUGAUACUGCACCAGUGUUCUAUCGCUUCUUCUGCCCUGUUAUAACCACUGCUGCCCUUUUGAGAGGAGUCCCAUUGAUGUUAUGCUCCAUCUGCAUAAUUUUGAUUGUUGGAUCGUCGUCUCAUGGAGUACAAUAGCCUUUAUUUGCCUGCCUGAGAGAGUACCUGCGAUUAUGCUUCAGCGGCGAUUAUGCACCUGGGAUUCAUUAGUCUCAAAUUAUUAUUAUUUUUCCUUUAAAGACUGUCGACGAAAGGUUCAUCUUUUACUUUUGAUUAUUAGCCAAUUUGAGUUUAUGUACUCACGCACGUCGCAACAGCUGCAACAUUUCACCCAUUUUUGAACAUUUCGGUUGAUUUGUACUGUGCAAGUUGUGAAUUGAUGCUUGUUUUUCA